rnacentral:sRNA from 1 species
CCAUAGCCCUGAUUGAAGUGAAAAUCCUUUUUGUUUUUUUUAAAAUAAAAAGAUUGUAGCGAAAAGCAGGAACUAGC